AAUCUUGCGCAAUGGGCGAAAGCCUGACGCAGCCAUGCCGCGUGAAGGAUGAAGGUCUUAGGAUUGUAAAAUUCUUUCACCGGGGACGAUAAUGACGGUACCCGGAGAAGAAGCCCCGGCUAACUUCGUGCCACCAGCCGCGGUAAUACGACGGGGGCUAGCGUUGCUCGGAAUUACUGGGCGUAAAGGGCGCGUAGGCGGAUCGUUAAGUCAGGGGUGAAAUACCGGGGCUCACGCUCGGAACUGACCUUGAUAAUGGCGAUCUUGAGUAUGAGAGAGGUAUGUGGAACUCCGAGUGUAGAGGUGAAAUUCGUAGAUAUUCGGAAGAACACCAGUGGCGAAGGCGACAUACUGGCUCAUUACUGACGCUGAGGCGCGAAAGCGUGGGGAGCAAAC
rnacentral:rRNA from 1 species